ACACCCAGAGCAGAAGUUCUACUUCAGCCAGAUCAGGCCUGCAAAGAAACUGCGUUUCACAGGCCUUUGUAAGAGAUGUUCCCGGUAGGCUGUUAGAGCACUGUGCAGAGCGAGUUGUUUCUUAGCUUCCCAACGAGCUGGAAGCAAGAUGCUUUAGGGGCCAUCUGCCCUUAAGGAAAGAAGGCAGCACUUUGUGCCUUGCAGCUCUAGGGCAAUGUAGCACACCCAGAGCAGAUGUUCUACUUCUGCCAGGUCAGGCCUGCAAAGAAACUGCGUUUCACAGGCCUUUGUAAGAGAUGUUCCCGGUAGGCUGUUAGAGCACUGUGCAGAGCGAGUUGUUUCUUAGCUUCCCAAAGAGCUGGAAGCAAGAUGCUUUGGGGCCCUUCUCACCCUUUGGAAAGAAGGCAGCACUUUGUGCCUUGCAGCUCUAGGGCAAUGUAGCACACCCACAGCAGAAGUUCUACUUAAGCCAGAUCUGGCCCGCAAAGAAACUGCGUUUCACAGGCCUUUGUAAGAGAUGUUCCCGGUAGGCUGUUAGAGCACUGUGCAGAGCGAGUUGUUUCUUAGCUUCCCAAAGAGCUGGAAGCAAGAUGCUUUAGGGGCCAUCUGCCCUUAAGGAAAGAAGGCAGCACUUUGUGCCUUGCAGCUCUAGGGCAAUGUAGCACACCCAGAGCAGAAGUUCUACUUCAG
rnacentral:lncRNA from 1 species